GAUGAACGCUGGCGGCGUGCCUAAUACAUGCAAGUCGAGCGAAUGGAUUAAGAGCUUGCUCUUAUGAAGUUAGCGGCGGACGGGUGAGUAACAUGUGGGUAACCUGCCCAUAAGACUGGGAUAACUCCGGGAAACCGGGGCUAAUACCGGAUAACAUUUUGAACCGCAUGGUUCGAAAUUGAAAGGCAGCUUCGGCUGUCACUUAUGGAUGGACCCGCGUCGCAUUAGCUAGUUGGUGAGGUAACGGCUAACCAAGGCAACGAUGCGUAGCCGACCUGAGAGGGUGAUCGGCCACACUGGGAAUGAGACACGGCCCAGACUCCUACGGGAGGCAGCAGUAGGGAAUCUUCCGCAAUGGACGAAAGUCUGACGGAGCAACGCCGCGUGAGUGAUGAAGGCUUUCGGGUCGUAAAACUCUGUUGUUAGGGAAGAACAAGUGCUAGUUGAAUAAGCUGGCACCUUGACGGUACCUAACCAGAAAGCCACGGCUAACUACGUGCCAGCCGCCGCCGUAA
rnacentral:rRNA from 1 species